rnacentral:rRNA from 1 species
GGUUAAGUUAGAAAGGGCGCACGGUGGAUGCCUUGGCACUAGGAGCCGAAGAAGGACGGGACUAACACCGAUAUGCUUUGGGGAGCUGUACGUAAGCGUUGAUCCAGAGAUUUCCGAAUGGGGGAACCCACUAUCUUUAGUCGGAUAGUAUCCUUACGUGAAUACAUAGCGUGAGGAAGGCAGACCCAGGGAACUGAAACAUCUAAGUACCUGGAGGAAGAGAAAGAAAAAUCGAUUUCCUGAGUAGCGGCGAGCGAAACGGAAAGAGCCCAAACCAAGAAGCUUGCUUCUUGGGGUUGUAGGACACUCUAUACGGAGUUACAAAAGAAAGUUAUAAAUGAAGCGGUCUGGAAAGGCCCGCCAAAGACGGUAACAGCCCGGUAGUUGAAAUGGCUUUCCCUCCAGAGUGGAUCCUGAGUACGGCGGAACACGUGAAAUUCCGUCGGAAUCCGGGAGGACCAUCUCCCAAGGCUAAAUACUCCCUAGUGACCGAUAGUGAACCAGUACCGUGAGGGAAAGGUGAAAAGCACCCCGGAAGGGGAGUGAAACAGUUCCUGAAACCGUGUGCCUACAAGUAGUUAGAGCCCGUUAAUGGGUGAUAGCGUGCCUUUUGUAGAAUGAACCGGCGAGUUACGAUUUGUUGCAAGGUUAAGCGGAAAAAGCGGAGCCGUAGCGAAAGCGAGUCUGAAUAGGGCGCAUAAGUAACAGGUCGUAGACCCGAAACCAGGUGAUCUACCCAUGUCCAGGAUGAAGGUAAGGUAAUACUUACUGGAGGUCCGAACCCACGCACGUUGAAAAGUGCGGGGAUGAGGUGUGGGUAGCGGAGAAAUUCCAAUCGAACUUGGAGAUAGCUGGUUCUCUCCGAAAUAGCUUUAGGGCUAGCCUCGAGGUAAAGAGUCAUGGAGGUAGAGCACUGUUUGGACUAGGGGCCCUUCUCGGGUUACCGAAUUCAGAUAAACUCCGAAUGCCAUGUACUUAUACUCGGGAGUCAGACUGCGAGUGAUAAGAUCCGUAGUCGAAAGGGAAACAGCCCAGACCACCAGUUAAGGUCCCCAAAUAUAUGUUAAGUGGAAAAGGAUGUGGGGUUGCUUAGACAACCAGGAUGUUGGCUUAGAAGCAGCCACCAUUGAAAGAGUGCGUAAUAGCUCACUGGUCGAGUGACCCCGCGCCGAAAAUGUACCGGGGCUAAACAUAUUACCGAAACUGUGGAUGAACCUCUUUAGAGGUUCGUGGUAGGAGAGCGUUCUAAGGGCGGUGAAGUCAGACCGGAAGGACUGGUGGAGCGCUUAGAAGUGAGAAUGCCGGUAUGAGUAGCGAAAGAAGGGUGAGAAUCCCUUCCACCGAAUAUCUAAGGUUUCCUGAGGAAGGCUCGUCCGCUCAGGGUUAGUCGGGACCUAAGCCGAGGCCGAUAGGCGUAGGCGAUGGACAACAGGUAGAGAUUCCUGUACCAGUGCUAAUUGUUUAACCGAUGGGGUGACACAGAAGGAUAGGGAAUCGCACGAAUGGAAAUGUGCGUCCAAGCAGUGAGUGUGAGAAGUAGGCAAAUCCGCUUCUCUCNNNNNNNNNNNNNNNNNNNNNNNNNNNNNNNNNNNNNNNNNNNNNNNNNNNNNNNNNNNNNNNNNNNNNNNNNNNNNNNNNNNNNNNNNNNNNNNNNUCGAAGCAUGAGCUGUGAUGGGGAAGGAAAUUAAGUACGGAAGUUCCUGAUUUCACGCUGUCAAGAAAAGCCUCUAGGAAGAGUAGUACUGCCCGUACCGCAAACCGACACAGGUAGAUGAGGAGAGAAUCCUAAGGUGAGCGAGAGAACUCUCGUUAAGGAACUCGGCAAAAUGACCCCGUAACUUCGGGAGAAGGGGUGCUCUAUUAGGGUGCAAGCCCGAGAGAGCCGCAGUGAAUAGGCCCAGGCGACUGUUUAGCAAAAACACAGGUCUCUGCAAAACCGUAAGGUGACGUAUAGGGGCUGACGCCUGCCCGGUGCUGGAAGGUUAAGAGGAGUGCUUAGCUUCGGCGAAGGUACGAAUUGAAGCCCCAGUAAACGGCGGCCGUAACUAUAACGGUCCUAAGGUAGCGAAAUUCCUUGUCGGGUAAGUUCCGACCCGCACGAAAGGCGCAACGAUCUGGGCACUGUCUCAACGAGAGACUCGGUGAAAUUAUAGUACCUGUGAAGAUGCAGGUUACCCGCGACAGGACGGAAAGACCCCGUGGAGCUUUACUGCAACCUGAUAUGGAAUGUUUGUACCGCUUGUACAGGAUAGGUAGGAGCCGAAGAGACGUGUGCGCUAGCAUACGAGGAGGCAAUGGUGGGAUACUACCCUGGCUGUAUGACCAUUCUAACCCGCCACGCUUAGCGCGUGGGGAGACAGUGUCAGGUGGGCAGUUUGACUGGGGCGGUCGCCUCCUAAAGAGUAACGGAGGCGCCCAAAGGUUCCCUCAGAAUGGAUGGAAAUCAUUCGCAGAGUGUAAAGGCACAAGGGAGCUUGACUGCGAGACUGACAAGUCGAGCAGGGACGAAAGUCGGGCUUAGUGAUCCGGUGGUUCCGCAUGGAAGGGCCAUCGCUCAACGGAUAAAAGCUACCCCGGGGAUAACAGGCUUAUCUCCCCCAAGAGUCCACAUCGACGGGGAGGUUUGGCACCUCGAUGUCGGCUCGUCGCAUCCUGGGGCUGUAGUCGGUCCCAAGGGUUGGGCUGUUCGCCCAUUAAAGCGGCACGCGAGCUGGGUUCAGAACGUCGUGAGACAGUUCGGUCCCUAUCCGUCGCGGGCGCAGGAAAUUUGAGAGGAGCUGUCCUUAGUACGAGAGGACCGGGAUGGACACACCGCUGGUGUACCAGUUGUUCCGCCAGGAGCAUCGCUGGGUAGCUAUGUGUGGCAGGGAUAAACGCUGAAAGCAUCUAAGCGUGAAGCCCCCCUCAAGAUGAGAUUUCCCAUUUCUUCGGAAAGUAAGAUCCCUGAAAGAUGAUCAGGUAGAUAGGUUUGGAGUGGAAGUGUAGCGAUACAUGGAGCGGACAAAUACUAAUCGAUCGAGGACUUAACCAA